UCGUAUGAUGAGAAAAAUUUGCGAUUGAUUCCAUUCGGGUGGCCCUCUUUCGCCGGAGGGCUAUAUCCGGUGGAUAACUGAUAUUCAAUUUCUUACAUAUUCUGACU
rnacentral:snoRNA from 1 species